AGAAACCAUUCCUGAUGAUUGUCCAGAUCAUCGAAGUUAAAGCCAGCGGCUACUGAGCAGCAAAAUCUUUCUCCUUCCCGGCACAUCUCUUUCUGAAAGAGAGAGAGAAUGGAUUCUACUGGAUGCAGAAAUGGUGGCAGAAGAUUGCAUUUGAUCAGCCACCUUUAUCUGAACCUCAAGACCAUAAAUGUUCUUCUUAGCCAUCAUUGAAGUUUGCCACUCCUAACCAUCAAAACAAUGCUGUCCUUGAGGCUGAGGUAGUAGAUUGAAUAGUUGUGGAGCCAUCUUCUCCCUUUGAACUAACUAUACAAUCUACUGUCUUUCCUAAGGAGACAGUCAAAUCAACUGCUCCCAUGGGAUUACCUAUUCCUACAUGCAAAUUUUUGUCAUGAACAAGGACCAUUUUGGGGCCCUUGGGUGUCAGGCAUGCAGUUCUACAAAUAUGCAAAUGUGUGAGUCCUUUGUGUUGCUUUGUGGAGGUGAGGUAGUAGGUUGUAUAGUUUGUGGGAGGGAUUAUAUCCCAUUUCAGGUGAUAACUAUACAGUCUAUUGCCUUCCUUAAGGAGCAGCAAAUCUGCUUUAAGAGGUGAAUGAUACAGCAAUUAUAUGCCACACUGAGCAACCCAACAAAACCCUGCUCCUUAUUGAUUCUGAGUUGGAGGAAAAGCUUCUACUUGUACUCUGGAUUAAAUACACCAAUCAUGCACUCCU